rnacentral:rRNA from 1 species
CCUACGGGAGGCAGCAGUGGGGAAUAUUGGACAAUGGGGGCAACCCUGAUCCAGCCAUGCCGCGUGUGUGAAGAAGGCCCUCGGGUUGUAAAGCACUUUCAGUGAGGAAGAACGCCUGGUGGUUAAUACCCAUCAGGAAAGACAUCACUCACAGAAGAAGCACCGGCUAACUCCGUGCCAGCAGCCGCGGUAAUACGGAGGGUGCGAGCGUUAAUCGGAAUUACUGGGCGUAAAGCGCGCGUAGGUGGCUUGGUAAGCCGGUUGUGAAAGCCCCGGGCUCAACCUGGGAACGGCAUCCGGAACUGUCAAGCUAGAGUGCAGGAGAGGAAGGUAGAAUUCCCGGUGUAGCGGUGAAAUGCGUAGAGAUCGGGAGGAAUACCAGUGGCGAAGGCGGCCUUCUGGACUGACACUGACACUGAGGUGCGAAAGCGUGGGUAGCAAACAGGAUUAGAUACCCGAGUAGUC